rnacentral:rRNA from 1 species
UACGGAGGGGGCUAGCGUUGUUCGGAAUUACUGGGCGUAAAGCGCACGUAGGCGGCUUUGUAAGUUAGAGGUGAAAGCCCGGGGCUCAACUCCGGAAUUGCCUUUAAGACUGCAUCGCUAGAAUUGUGGAGAGGUGAGUGGAAUUCCGAGUGUAGAGGGGAAAUUCGUAGAUAUUCGGAAGAACACCAGUGGCGAAGGCGACUCACUGGACACAUAUUGACGCUGAGGUGCGAAAGCGUGGGGAGCAAACAGG